rnacentral:rRNA from 1 species
GAUACCUACGGGGCGCAGCAGUAGGGAAUAUUGCUUAAUGGGGGAAACCCUGAAGCAGCAACGCCGCGUGAAGGAAGAAGGCUUUCGGGUUGUAAACUUCUUUUGACAGGGAAGAGUAGAAGACGGUACCUGCAAAGGAAGCACCGGCUAACUCCGUGCCAGCAGCCGCGGUAAUACGGAGGGUGCAAGCGUUACUCGGAAUCACUGGGCGUAAAGAGCGCGUAGGCGGGAUAGCAAGUCAGAUGUGAAAUCCUAUGGCUUAACCAUAGAACUGCAUUUGAAACUGUUAUUCUAGAGUAUGGGAG